rnacentral:rRNA from 1 species
CCUUCGGGUGGGGAAUAACAGCCGGAAACGGUCGCUAAUACCGCAUAAUGCAGCGGCUCGACAUCGAGACAGUUGUUAAAGCGGGGGAUCGCAAGACCUCGCGCCUGAAGAGAAGCCUGCGGCAGAUUAGCUAGUUGGUAGGGUAAUGGCCUACCAAGGCGACGAUCUGUAACCGGCCUGAGAGGGCGGUCGGUCACACUGACACUGACAUACGGGUCAGACUCCUACGGGAGGCAGCAGUCGGGAAUUUUGGGCAAUGGGCGAAAGCCUGACCCAGCAACGCCGCGUGAAGGAUGAAAUCCCUCGGGAUGUAAACUUCGCAAGAAUGGGAAGAUAAGUAGAAGAUAAUACCUUCUAUGAUGACGGUACCAUUUGUAAGCUCCGGCUAACUCCGUGCCAGCAGCCGCGGUAAUACGG